rnacentral:rRNA from 1 species
AGUGAACGCUGGCGGUAGGCCUAACACAUGCAAGUCGAACGGCAGCACAGUAAGAGCUUGCUCUUACGGGUGGCGAGUGGAGGACGGGUGGGGAAUACAUCGGAAUCUACUUUUUCGUGGGGGAUAACGUAGGGAAACUUACGCUAAUACCGCAUACGACCUACGGGUGAAAGCAGGGGAUCUUCGGACCUUGCGCGAUUGAAUGAGCCGAUGUCGGAUUAGCUAGUUGGCGGGGUAAAGGCCCACCAAGGCGACGAUCCGUAGCUGGUCUGAGAGGAUGGUCAGACACACUGGAACUGAGACACGGUCCAGACUCCUACGGGAGGCAGCAGUGGGGAAUAUUGGACAAUGGGAGCAAGCCUGAUCCAGCCAUACCGCGUGGGUGAAGAAGGCCUUCGGGUUGUAAAGCCCUUUUGUUGGGAAAGAAAAGCAGCAGGUUAAUACCCCGCUGUUCUGACGGUACCCAAAGAAUAAGCACCGGCUAACUUCGUG